rnacentral:rRNA from 1 species
UGAUUCUAUUAUUAAAUUCUUUUUAGAUAUUUAUAUAAUUGAUAGAUAAUUGGUGACACAGAAUCGGAGGCCCCGACUGUUUACUAAAAACACAACACAGUGCAAUCAUUAAUAUGGUAGUAUACUGUGUGAAAUUUGCCCAAUGCCAUUAAUAUAAAAGCGGUCAUGGGAAACUGUGACUAAUUGAAAAUCUGGUUAAUAGCGGUCUUAACCAUGAGGAUUUUAUUAAAACCUUAAGGGUCCUCAUUAAACUCGAUGAUAUGUUGGAAUCACCUAAAACUUUAAGUAUUAUUAAAUUUUAAUAAUUAAAAUUAAUAGUUAAAAAUUUAAAGAUGUAACAAUGGUUAAUCAACAGGGAAUAUUCAAAUAUUCAAAUUUAAUCAGUCUAAAUAUUAAUAAAUUAGUGAUAAUUAAAAAAUAUAAUCAAAAAAAUAACAGUAUAAAAUUAAAUUCUAUUAUCAAAUGAUGAAAAGAGAUAUUAAAAUUCCUUUAUAUUUAUCUUUUUAGGAGGUUUCGUUGAAGGAGAAAAUUCUAAUUCUGUUUCUAUAACUAUAAAUAAGAAAUUUAAAUAUGGUAAAAUAUUCAACUAAUAUUUAAUGUCAGUUAACAUAAAAUGGUUUAGACAAUAAUUUAAUUUCUGAUUAAUAAUUUUAAUUGUAUUUUUAUUUAAAUCUCUCUAAUUUUUAUUUUAAUAGAAUAGAUACUUGAUUAAAUUUGAAUAAAAUAGCCUUUAGAGACUAAAUAAUUGAGCAAAUAAUAAUAUAAAUUUUAUUUGAUGAUAUAGUCCAAACUAUAAUAGAAAUAUAUAGAUAAUGCCUAAGGUAGCAAAAUAAAUUGGCCAUUAAAUGUGGUCCGGUAUCAAUAAUGUAACGAUGGCCUCACUGUCUCUACAACUUGCUCAGUGAAAUUGAAUUACGCGUGCAGAUGCGC